GUUCUACCUUUUCUCCCAGGGUUCUUAUCAUGAUGACAGCUGCCAUCUUUGCUGCUGUGUGAAGACUUUUGGGAGACGCAACAUAUAAACAGAAAAGUAAAUAAACGCACCACAGGAGCAGUAUCAUCACAGCGGCCACAGCGCUAAACCAAUCACUCGUGUUGCCGGCGCUAACUUGGCUAGCUGCACCGUUCCUGCCCUGCCUUCACAGCUACUGGAGUCAUCUCAGGGCACAGAAAGUCCCCACUGGUAUUCCUUCCCUUUCAUACAGCCACUUUCCCACCUUCCCACACACAACAUGGAUGUGGAGUUUCAUUUUAAAGUGUUGUAUUCUUAGUGUAUUUGACUCAUUCGCCUACAAAAUGAAAGAUGGGAGAGGUUCUCAAAUAUUACCAAG